GCGCGCCUUUCGGGGUGAGCGGCGGACGGGUUAGUAACGCGUGGGAAUAUGCCCUUUGGUACGGAAUAGCCUCUGGAAACGGAGAGUAAUACCGUAUGAGCCCUUCGGGGGAAAGAUUUAUCGCCAAAGGAUUAGCCCGCGUUAGAUUAGGUAGUUGGUGGGGUAAUGGCCUACCAAGCCUACGAUCUAUAGCUGGUUUUAGAGGAUGAUCAGCAACACUGGGACUGAGACACGGCCCAGACUCCUACGGGAGGCAGCAGUGGGGAAUCUUGGACAAUGGGGGCAACCCUGAUCCAGCCAUGCCGCGUGAGUGAUGAAGGCCUUAGGGUCGUAAAGCUCUUUCGCCUGUGAAGAUAAUGACGGUAGCAGGUAAAGAAACCCCGGCUAACUCCGUGCCAGCAGCCGCGGUAAUACGGAGGGGGUUAGCGUUGUUCGGAAUUACUGGGCGUAAAGCGCACGUAGGCGGAUCGGAAAGUUGGGGGUGAAAUCCCGGGGCUCAACCCCGGAACUGCCUCCAAAACUAUCGGUCUAGAGUUCGAGAGAGGUGAGUGGAAUUCC
rnacentral:rRNA from 1 species